GCGUCUUACCAUGCAGUCGAACGGUGAAGCCAAGCUUGCUUGGUGGAUCAGUGGCGAACGGGUGAGUAACACGUGAGCAACCUGCCCUGGACUCUGGGAUAAGCGCUGGAAACGGCGUCUAAUACUGGAUAUGAGCUCUCAUCGCAUGGUGGGGGUUGGAAAGAUUUUUUGGUCUGGGAUGGGCUCGCGGCCUAUCAGCUUGUUGGUGAGGUAAUGGCUCACCAAGGCGUCGACGGGUAGCCGGCCUGAGAGGGUGACCGGCCACACUGGGACUGAGACACGGCCCAGACUCCUACGGGAGGCAGCAGUGGGGAAUAUUGCACAAUGGGCGGAAGCCUGAUGCAGCAACGCCGCGUGAGGGAUGACGGCCUUCGGGUUGUAAACCUCUUUUAGCAGGGAAGAAGCGAGAGUGACGGUACCUGCAGAAAAAGCGCCGGCUAACUACGUGCCAGCAGCCGCGGUAAUACGUAGGGCGCAAGCGUUAUCCGGAAUUAUUGGGCGUAAAGAGCUCGUAGGCGGUUUGUCGCGUCUGCUGUGAAAUCCCGAGGCUCAACCUCGGGCCUGCAGUGGGUACGGGCAGACUAGAGUGCGGUAGGGGAGAUUGGAAUUCCUGGUGUAGCGGUGGAAUGCGCAGAUAUCAGGAGGAACACCGAUGGCGAAGGCAGAUCUCUGGGCCGUAACUGACGCUGAGGAGCGAAAGGGUGGGGAGCAAACAGGCUUAGAUACCCUGGUAGUCCACCCCGUAAACGUUGGGAACUAGUUGUGGGGACCAUUCCACGGUUUCCGUGACGCAGCUAACGCAUUAAGUUCCCCGCCUGGGGAGUACGGCCGCAAGGCUAAAACUCAAAGGAAUUGACGGGGACCCGCACAAGCGGCGGAGCAUGCGGAUUAAUUCGAUGCAACGCGAAGAACCUUACCAAGGCUUGACAUACACCAGAACACCGUAGAAAUACGGGACUCUUUGGACACUGGUGAACAGGUGGUGCAUGGUUGUCGUCAGCUCGUGUCGUGAGAUGUUGGGUUAAGUCCCGCAACGAGCGCAACCCUCGUUCUAUGUUGCCAGCACGUAAUGGUGGGAACUCAUGGGAUACUGCCGGGGUCAACUCGGAGGAAGGUGGGGAUGACGUCAAAUCAUCAUGCCCCUUAUGUCUUGGGCUUCACGCAUGCUACAAUGGCCGGUACAAAGGGCUGCAAUACCGUGAGGUGGAGCGAAUCCCAAAAAGCCGGUCCCAGUUCGGAUUGAGGUCUGCAACUCGACCUCAUGAAGUCGGAGUCGCUAGUAAUCGCAGAUCAGCAACGCUGCGGUGAAUACGUUCCCGGGUCUUGUACACACCGCCCGUCAAGUCAUGAAAGUCGGUAACACCUGAAGCCGGUGGCCUAACCCUUGUGGAGGGAGCCGUCCGAAAGG
rnacentral:rRNA from 1 species